GACGAACGCUGGCGGCGUGCUUAACACAUGCAAGUCGAACGGAAAGGCCCCUUUGGGGGUACUCGAGUGGCGAACGGGUGAGUAACACGUGAGUAACCUGCCCUUGACUUCGGGAUAACUUCAGGAAACUGGGGCUAAUACCGGAUAGGAAUCCUUGCUGCAUGGUGGGGGUUGGAAAGCUUCGGCGGUUUUGGAUGGACUCGCGGCUUAUCAGCUUGUUGGUGGGGUAGUGGCUUACCAAGGCUUUGACGGGUAGCCGGCCUGAGAGGGCGACCGGCCACAUUGGGACUGAGAUACGGCCCGGACUCCUACGGGAGGCAGCAGUGGGGAAUAUUGCACAAUGGGCGGAAGCCUGAUGCAGCAACGCCGCGUGCGGGAUGACGGCCUUCGGGUUGUAAACCGCUUUCAGCAGGGGCGAAGCUUGUGGUGACGGUACCUGCAGAAGAAGCACCGGCUAACUACGUG
rnacentral:rRNA from 1 species